UACUUGUUCAAGGGUAGUGAGUUAUCCCAACUGAUUGUUCACAGUCAGAGAUUUGAUUCUUUGUUCUACUCUUUCUCCCAUCUCACUACUGCACUUGACUAGUCUUUU
rnacentral:Y_RNA from 1 species